AGAAUGAGUGACGACAAAGUGCAACACGGCAGGUUGAAUCGGCUAAAUACGCAUAACCAGUGGUCUAAGCGUACAGUGGCUGAGUGCUUGCUGAAGUAGCAACGAAGGGGACUGAGACGACCGAUAUCUGAGAUGGGUGCAUCCAACUCCAAACUCUUUUCGGCAGACGCAAGAAAGACAAGGUGCUCUCGUGGACUGGCCUGAAGAGAGCGCUGUCGUUCAAAAAACAGAAGCGGAGAAAAAACUUUCUGGAAAAGUUGUCUAUCGGCAACAACAGAAAAGGGUCUCUGUCUCUCAAAAGAUUGUCGGUCCCAAAUAUCCGGAAAAGCACCAGGAAAAGCUCGCAAUCUCCGAAGAGAUUCUCCCUGUUUGAACUUUGAAGGAUGCAGUGCAGGAUAUCCACUCACGGCACUCAGAGGUCAGGUACUAAAUAUAGAAAAGCAGCACAGACUACGAUGACCAACCCCCGACAACCCAGCGUCUGAGUAGAGGUUUUCGGACUGUAGCUGCCACAGGUGCCUGUGAAAAGACUUGGUUUUUCUACUUUAGCUGGUUUGUUUGCCUCUUUAAAUCUAUUAUUUUAUUAAAAAUAAAUACAUAUUUUGCUGACACCACUACAGUACACGUGUGUCGUUACUGAUGGAGACCGGUGGGGACUAGUGGAGAGUACAGUUACUGGAGAAGCAAAGGGUCACCAUCAUGUGGUUCAUUAAUACAGAGGAAGUACGUGUGUGUGUGCGUGUGUCCGUGUGUGCGUGCGUGUGUGUAAUACAAGGCUACUGAUGAAAAUGUAUAUCUGCAGUCACAUUGGAUGGAAGUACAAAGCAAAGAAAAAAAAAAAGAAAA